rnacentral:rRNA from 1 species
GAGUUUUAUCCUGGCUCAGAUUGAACGCUGGCGGCAUGCUUUACACAUGCAAGUCGGACGGCAGCACAGAGAAGCUUGCUUCUUGGGUGGCGAGUGGCGAACGGGUGAGUAAUAUAUCGGAACGUACCGAGUAAUGGGGGAUAACUAAUCGAAAGAUUAGCUAAUACCGCAUAUUCUCUGAGGAGGAAAGCAGGGGACCUUCGGGCCUUGCGUUAUUCGAGCGGCCGAUAUCUGAUUAGCUAGUUGGUGGGGUAAAGGCCUACCAAGGCGACGAUCAGUAGCGGGUCUGAGAGGAUGAUCCGCCACACUGGGACUGAGACACGGCCCAGACUCCUACGGGAGGCAGCAGUGGGGAAUUUUGGACAAUGGGCGCAAGCCUGAUCCAGAGAAGGCCUUCGGGUUGUAAAGGACUUUUGUCAGGGAAGAAAAGGAUAGGGUUAAUACCCCUGUCUGAUGACGGUACCUGAAGAAUAAGCACCGGCUAACUACGUGCCAGCAGCCGCGGUAAUACGUAGGGUGCGAGCGUUAAUCGGAAUUACUGGGCGUAAAGCGAGCGCAGACGGUUACUUAAGCAGGAUGUGAAAUCCCCGGGCUCAACCUGGGAACUGCGUUCUGAACUGGGUGACUAGAGUGUGUCAGAGGGGGGUAGACUUCCACGUGUAGCAGUGAAAUGCUUAGAGAUGUGGAGGAAUAUCGAUGGCGAAGGCC